AUGGUCCGAAUCCGUGACUCCGACGUACAAUACAAGCUCACCACCGUCUACGGUCCCACCGACUCCUCUCGCAAGGAUGCUUUUUUUGCGGAGCUCAUUGGCCAAAAACCGCCUGCCGGGAUCUCUUGGCUCGUGGCAGGCGAUUUCAACCAAAUAUAUCGUGCGCGUGACAAGAACAAUAGGAACAUUAAUCGGAGUCGAAUUAACCGUUUCCGGGCGGCACUCCAGAGUUGUGAGGUAAAAGAAAUCCAUUUACAAAAUAGAAGGUUCACUUGGAGCAACGAGAGGGAAAACCCGACCUUGUGCAAGCUUGAUUCGUUCUUUUGUAACGCCGAGUGGGACACCACCUUCGGCACCCACGUGCUCCACGCCCUAUCUUCUUCCCUCUCCGACCAUUGUCCGCUUCUCCUCGCCGAUGACAAGGGGCCCACUAGUAGAAAAACCCCCAUUAGUCCCGGUUCUUGA
rnacentral:rRNA from 1 species